rnacentral:rRNA from 1 species
UGGGGGAUAUUGCACAAUGGGCGAAAGCCUGAUGCAGCGACGCCGCGUGGGGGAUGAAGGCCUUCGGGUUGUAAACUUCUUUUGCUCUGAACAAGGCAUGCUAAUGGGUGUGUUGAGUGUAGGGGUUGAUUAGCGCCGGCUAACUACGUGCCAGCAGCCGCGGUAAUACGUAGGGCGCGAGCGUUGUCCGGUAUUAUUGGGCGUAAAGGGCUUGUAGGUGGCUGGUUGCGUCUGUCGUGAAAGCUCAUGGCUUAACUGUGGGUGUGCGGUGGGUACGGGCUGGCUUGAGUGCAGUAGGGGAGGCUGGAAUUACUGGUGUAGCGGGGGAAUGCGCAGAUAUCAGGAGGAAUACCGGUGGCGAAGGCGGGUCUCUGGGCUGUUACUGACACUGAGGAGCGAAAGCAUGGGGAGCGAACAGG